UUUGUCCCACCUCCCUGCUUGUUACUUGGCCAGGGAGGUGGGCUAUUGCAUUCCCUGGUGGUCCAGUGGCAUGUGCUGUGCAGUGGGGGAUCCGCGGUCCUGGUAUGUAUUAUCGGCAAUAAUGGUAUCUUUACUGGCCGAUACCGAUAUUGCCGAAAAUACCGAAUAUCAGCCGAUAAUAUCUGUAAAACCGAUCAUCAGUCAAUCCCUAGUAAAUACAUGAGUGAAAAUAUACUAAGUACAUAGUCACAAUAUAGAAAAUGAAAAUGUAUAUAAUGAAAUAAGACGUUCCUCAUAUGUAUCCGCCAUAAUCCAGGUGGGCACCAG